GUAGUCUCGCACAGAUGCAUAUCAAUAAGCGGAGGAAAAGAAACUAACAAGGAUUCCCUUAGUAACGGCGAGUGAAGCGGGAAGAGCUCAAAUUUGAAAUCUUCAAGGUUUUACCUUGACGAAUUGUAGUUUAAAGAAGUGUUUUCUGUUGAAGUUUUGGUAAAAGUUCUUUGGAAUAGGACAUCAUAGAGGGUGAGAAUCCCGUAUUUGACCAUUAUUUUCAGCUGUGUGAUACACUUUCAAAGAGUCGGAUUGUUUGGGAAUGCAGUCCAAAAUGGGUGGUAAAUUUCAUCUAAGGCUAAAUAUUGGCGAGAGACCGAUAGCGAACAAGUGCCGUGAGGGAAAGAUGAAAAGAACUUUGAAAAGAGAGUUAAAUAGUACGUGAAAUUGUCAAAAGGGAAGCGUUUAACACCAGUGUUGUUUUCUGAAAAUCAACCUCUGUUAGCUUUAUGCAUGUUUGUUUAGACCUAAUCAGCUAUCUUGCAUGUUCUAUUGUUUGCAGUGGUGCACUUUUCAGUUUACAGGUCAACAUCAGUUUUUUUUACCGUAAAAAAGUUAAAGAAAGGUAGCUCAUGGCUCCGGUCGUGAGUGUUAUAGUCUUUUUCCUAUGCGGUAGGAGAGACUGAGGUCUGCAGUGUAGGCUAUUUGGCUAGAUACUCAGGUGCUAUGUGAUACCAUUUCAUAAACAACUUGUUGAUUAUGUUUUGUCUAUUGCAUACUCGCUUGUACUAUCAUACCUACGCUUAGGAUGUUGAAGAUGUAGCACAUCAU
rnacentral:rRNA from 1 species